CCACAAAAUAUCUUGCUAGGAGGCCCAUCCCCCUGGGCCUCUUAUAGUGUCCUAUGCUAGAGCCAACUGUGACCCCGAACCAUUGCCUGGCCUCUGUGUCAUUAGGCUGCUGGAACUGAAGUGUGUUGCACAGCA
rnacentral:snoRNA from 1 species